UACGUAGGGGGCAAGCGUUGUCCGGAAUCAUUGGGCGUAAAGAGCGUGUAGGCGGCUCGAUAAGUCUGCUGUGAAAGUCCAGGGCUCAACCCUGGAAGGCCGGUGGAAACUGUCGGGCUAGAGUCCGGAAGAGGCGAGUGGAAUUCCCGGUGUAGCGGUGAAAUGCGCAGACAUCGGGAGGAACACCAAUGGCGAAGGCAGCUCGCUGGGACGGUACUGACGCUGAGACGCGAAAGCGUGGGGAGCAAACAGG
rnacentral:rRNA from 1 species